rnacentral:rRNA from 1 species
GACGCUGGCGGCGUGCUUAACACAUGCAAGUCGAACGAACCUUCGGGUUAGUGGCGGACGGGUGAGUAACGCGUGAGAAUCUGCCCUCAGGAGGGGGAUAACGGUUGGAAACGACCGCUAAUACCCCAUAUGCCUACUGGUGAAAUGAAUUUCGCCUGAGGAUGAGCUCGCGUCUGAUUAGCUAGUUGGUGUGGUAAUGGCUCACCAAGGCUUCGAUCAGUAGCUGGUCUGAGAGGAUGAUCAGCCACACUGGGACUGAGACACGGCCCAGACUCCUACGGGAGGCAGCAGUGGGGAAUUUUCCGCAAUGGGCGAAAGCCUGACGGAGCAACGCCGCGUGAGGGAAGAAGGCCUCUGGGCUGUAAACCUCUUUUCUCAAGGAAGAAGAUAUGACGGUACUUGAGGAAUAAGCCACGGCUAAUUCCGUGCCAGCAGCCGCGGUAAUACGGGAGUGGCAAGCGUUAUCCGGAAUUAUUGGGCGUAAAGCGUCCGCAGGCGGCUUUUCAAGUCUGCUGUUAAAACGUGGAGCUUAACUCCAUCAUGGCAGUGGAAACUGAAAGGCUUGAGUAUGGUAGGGGCAGAGGGAAUUCCCGGUGUAGCGGUGAAAUGCGUAGAUAUCGGGAAGAACACCAGUGGCGAAGGCGCUCUGCUGGGCCAUUACUGACGCUCAUGGACGAAAGCCAGGGGAGCGAAAGGGAUUAGAUACCCCUGUAGUCCUGGCCGUAAACGAUGAACACUAGGUGUCGGGGGAAUCGACCCCUUCGGUGUCGUAGCUAACGCGUUAAGUGUUCCGCCU